GCCGUAGCUCAGCGGCAGAGCCUCUGCUUUGCGUGCAGAAGGUUGCUGGUUCGAUCCCUGGAAUCUCCA